rnacentral:rRNA from 1 species
CUGGCGGCGUGCCUAAUACAUGCAAGUACAAUGCUGACUACUUUAGCUUGCUAGAGUAGAAGGAGUUGCGAACGGGUGAGUAACGCGUAGGUAACCUGCCUACUAGCGGGGGAUAACUAUUGGAAACGAUAGCUAAUACCGCAUAACAGUGUUUAACACAUGUUAGAUGCUUGAAAGAUGCAAUUGCAUCACUAGUAGAUGGACCUGCGUUGUAUUAGCUAGUUGGUGGGGUAACGGCCCACCAAGGCGACGAUACAUAGCCGACCUGAGAGGGUGAUCGGCCACACUGGGACUGAGACACGGCCCAGACUCCUACGGGAGGCAGCAGUAGGGAAUCUUCGGCAAUGGGGGCAACCCUGACCGAGCAACGCCGCGUGAGUGAAGAAGGUUUUCGGAUCGUAAAGCUCUGUUGUAAGAGAAGAACGUGUGUGAGAGUGGAAAGUUCACACAGUGACGGUAACUUACCAGAAAGGGACGGCUAACUACGUGCCAGCAGCCGCGGUAAUACGUAGGUCCCGAGCGUUGUCCGGAUUUAUUGGGCGUAAAGCGAGCGCAGGCGGUUUAAUAAGUCUGAAGUUAAAGGCAGUGGCUUAACCAUUGUUCGCUUUGGAAACUGUUAAACUUGAGUGCAGAGGGGGAGAGUGGAAUUCCAUGUGUAGCGGUGAAAUGCGUAGAUAUAUGGGAGGAACACCGGUGGCGAAAGCGGCUCUCUGGUCUGUAACUGACGCUGAGGCUCGAAAGCGUGGGGA